rnacentral:misc_RNA from 1 species
UAGAGUUAUCAUAAACUCUAAACCCAUGUGAACAUACCUCUCGUUGCCUCGGCAGGUCGUGUCUACCCGGUAGCCCAUACCUGGGAAUCACUACCCGGUAGACGCGGGUCAGCCUGUCAGUGGCCCACGAAACUCUGUUUAAUCUUUGAAAUUCUGAAUAUUAUAACUAAAUAAGUUA